UACGGGGGGGGCAAGCGGUUGUUCGGAAUUACUGGGCGUAAAGGGCGCGUAGGCGGCCUGCUAAGUCGGACGUGAAAUCCCUCGGCUCAACCGAGGAACUGCGUCCGAUACUGGUGGGCUUGAAUCCGGGAGAGGGAUGUGGAAUUCCAGGUGUAGCGGUGAAAUGCGUAGAUAUCUGGAGGAACACCGGUGGCGAAGGCGGCAUCCUGGACCGGCAUUGACGCUGAGGCGCGAAAGCUAGGGGAGCAAACAGG
rnacentral:rRNA from 1 species